UAGUCCGCACGAGCGCAACCCUCGUCCCGCGUUGCCAUAGAUGGGACUCGCGGGAGACCGCCAGCGACAAGCUGGAGGAAGGCGGGGACGACGUCAAGUCAUCAUGGCCUUUAUGUCCAGGGCUACACACGUGCUACAAUGGGCGGUACAACGGGUCGCGAGGCCGCGAGGCGGAGCCAAUCCCGCAAAGCCGCCCCCAGUUCGGAUUGCAGGCUGCAACUCGCCUGCAUGAAGCCGGAAUCGCUAGUAAUGGCGCAUCAGAACGGCGCCGUGAAUACGUUCCCGGGCCUUGNACACACCGCCCGU
rnacentral:rRNA from 1 species